GAUGAAGAACGCAGCGAAAUGCGAUACUUGGUGUGAAUUGCAGAAUCCCGUGAACCAUCGAGUCUUUGAACGCAAGUUGCGCCCGAAGCCAUUAGGCCGAGGGCACGCCUGCCUGGGCGUCACACGUCGUUGCCCCCCCAUCUACUCCUUCGGGAUUGCGGGGGGCGGAUGAUGGCCUCCCGUGCGCCUCGCCGCGCGGUUGGCCUAAAUGCCAAGUCCUCGGCGACGCACGCCACGACAAUCGGUGGUUGCGAAACCUCGGUUGCCCGUCGUGUGCGGUCGUCGCGCAUCGAGGGCUCGAAAAAAUUGCCGGGCUUCGGCUCGACUUUCAACGCGACCCCAGGUCAGGCGGGGUUACCCGCUGAAUUUAAGCAUAUCAAUAAGCGGAGGA
rnacentral:misc_RNA from 1 species